CCACUUGUUCCCGCGCCGCCGCCGUGCUCCCUCUGGUCGCUCUGGUUGCGGCUGCAGCUCUGGCAGCAGGGAUCUAUUUCAGAAGAAAACUCUUCAGCGCCGUACUGGUCCUGUAUCCGUGGCGCAACGACUCGCCAGAUGCAGAAAGUGGGAGAGUCGUAGGCAGUGGCGAGACCCCCGGCGUGGAGAUGGCCACUGAGCUCUAAGAGAAGAGAAGAGAAGA